ACCACAUAAUGUACAGGGGCCUCCAGCUGGUGACAUUGUGUCCGCAGAGCUCUGCACGGGCACCUGCUGAUACAAUGUAUCCAUGUGAGGAGUUCUCCUGGCUCCGCCCCCUCCCGGCACUUCCUUUGUGUCAGCUGCAGCAGCCGGAAGAGCCCCAGUGUGUGCUGGAGGGGGCUUCUCUCUGUACUGGUAUCUAGAGCACGGGCCCCAGGAAGACUCAGCAGAGGGCCACAUUGGUCUGGAUCCUGAUUGUUUCCUUUCUCUCAUACAUUCUCUGCACCUCACAUCUCCCUCCCCCAUCACUGGGUCAGCAGCCAUCAUGCAGAUGUUAUGUCAGAAGAACCCGUAUCUCAGCAGCAUCCGGGGAGUUGAGGACUUCAUCAUGGACCCCAACCUACUACGAUUCCCGGAGGUUGUACUAACGAGGAUAGAGGUGAAGAUAGAGGACGACCCCCCAACAAGUGCAGGAGCAGGUAAGGAGGACCAAUCUCUGGUGAAACCUCGUGUGAAAUCUGAGAAGAUAUGGAAAGAGUCGAAUGCCGCUGCUCCCUUCUACAGUUCGGCCAGAACAGAGGACGCAGGGUACCAUGAGGCAGAACGCAGUAAAGACUAUAACGGGGAGACAGCACCUGCCACAUCGGGUGAUGCCGGUUACUCGGAGUUGGGCAGAGAACCCCUCAGAUCUGGGUGUAACGGGUUAUCAAAACAGAUUAGGAGGAACCCUGGACGGAGGAAGAGGGGUGGUUGGCACCAGUAUGUAUGUAGGGAACGGCAGCAGUUUGACCGAAAGAAGAAGAAACACUGUGCAGCCUAUGUGGAGGAGGAGCGCCAGCGGGGGCAGCGGUUCAGUGAGGAAGAGAACCAAGUGCUGGUAGAGGGCGUCCUCAGCCACUACAAGGACCUCUGUGGGCACUCCUCCUUGAAGGGCAGCGCCACGAGGAAGAGACGUCUCUGGCAGGAAGUAGUUAAUAACGUCAAUAGUGUAGCGACGACGUACAGGACUAUUGAGGUGUGCAAGAAGCGCUACGGGGACUGCAAGCGAUCAGUUAAAGUCAAGAUGGCGGCUCUAGAACGCAAGGCCAUGGGAUGGGGAGUUCCUCAAGAGCAAAUCAAGUUUAGUAACUGGGAAGAAAGUCUAAGGCAGAAGAUCACUUCUAUCCCCAUUAACGGGGUGCGACGUGUGCUGGACACCUGUGAACCCUCCAGCCUGGAGCCAUCCGCUGCCCAGAUAACCCAAUCCCCCAUGUGUGAGCCUGUCUCUGACUACGACAACGUGUCCUCUCUGCCGGAUAUCCAUCUCGUCAGUGAAUACUCGGAGGAAGAAGAAGCCCCCAGUACCCCAGCAGACCCUGUUCCCUAUGAGACGGUGAAUGCAGCUGAGCCGCAGCCCGAGCACAUGUUUCCUACCCCUUCGGACCCAACGUCUAUGAUGAAUGGACCUGAGACAUCAGUCACUGGCCAGCACCAGCUACAAGAAGAUCUUAACACAAGUCUCCAGCACCUGACACAAGUCCAAAACGUGGAACUGCACAAGUUACGAGAAAACGUGGUGGAAGGCAACGCCAGAGUAGUCCAGCAGCUGGAAGGUCUAGUGUCGGAGGUGCGAGAGUUAAACGCCCAUGUGCAGCAGAUACACCUAAACCAAGCGCAUUUCAAUCACAUGUUCCAGAACUACAUCAGUGACACCAAGCAGUUCUACGGGUCUAUUGUACAAGCCAUAAAAGCCCUACAACCUGCGCCGACUGUAAGUCCUAUGGCGUCACCCACUUCAUCGCCCCUAUCCUCCACCAAAUAUUCAGCAGCCCAUACAAACCCAAUGCUAAUGACGGCUGCCAUGUUUGAUUCUACAUCACUGUCUCCAGCCGGUUCUGCAGAACCGCCGUCUGUAUCUUCCACCGCUUCAGAGGUCAACCCAACCAGCCACAACCAAGGAGGGAGACCACCCCUGGCCUUCCAGUUUCAACCUCUGAGAAAGUAUUGAUCUAAACGUUUAUUGCACAUCUGACCGCUGUCCCCAAUCCCUGAUAUCUGGGGGUGUAGUUGACAACAGUCCGUGGACUCUCUUCCUGCUGAGCUUGUGGGGCAGAGCUUGUGCUGAGACUCAACAGCCUAUCUGAACAAUCAGAGCUACAGUAUACAUGUUGUGGGCAGGACUGGGCAACAGCCUGAUCGUGUGAUGAAAAAUCUGGUGAAUUGCAGACUACCUCAGACUCCAGUAGUUGGAGUCAGUGAUGGAGCAGAGCAAACACUGAAGCAGGUCAGCAUUACCCAAAGACAGUGACGGAUCCAGGGUCCCUAUCUGGAGAUCCGUGAACAGCACAGUAACAUAGUUCCUUUGUGUUUUUGUAUUUACUGGGAUUAUAUUUCUAUGAUCUCAGAUAAGCCUAGUUUUGCUGAAUCUUUUCCCACAGAACGAUAUACCAGUCUGCUCAGCUCCUCCUGCUCUAUAACAUGGUGCCGGCUGAUUGCCCUGCAUUCUAUGGGGACCGGUCCCCUUUGAGGACCUGCACAUAUGGUCAUGUGACUACAGCUCCAAAAACGUAAAAUGUCCUGCACAGAGCAUACAUCAGACAUGCAAUACACCAGCAGAGCACCGACACAAUACCUAUACAGUACCCUCAUACUGCACAUAUAGCACCAACACACAGGGGGCACCUAGUCUUUCUGCUCCC